rnacentral:rRNA from 1 species
CCUACGGGUGGCAGCAGUGAGGAAUAUUGGUCAAUGGGCGGGAGCCUGAACCAGCCAAGUCGCGUGAGGGAUGACGGCCCUAUGGGUUGUAAACCUCUUUUGCCGGGGGGCAAAGUGCCGCACGUGUGCGGUUUGGAGAUUACCCGGAGAAAAAGCAUCGGCUAACUCCGUGCCAGCAGCCGCGUUAAGACGGAGGAUGCGAGCGUUAUCCGGAUUUUUUGGGUUUAAAGGGUGCGUAGGCGGACGCUUAAGUCAGCGGUAAAAUUGCGGGGCUCAACCCCGUACUGCCGUUGACACUGCAUCCCUUGAGUGCGCGAGAAGUAUGCGGAAUGCGUGGUGUAGCGGUGAAAUGCAUAGAUAUCACGAAGAACUCCGAUUGCGAAGGCAGCAUACCGGCGCGCAACUGACGCUCAUGCACGAAAGCGUGGGUAUCGAACAGGAUUAGAUACCCCUGUAGUC